GCUGGGAGGUUGUGAAAAUUCUACUUUUAAAAAGCUAGCUGCAAUCUGUCAUUUAAUUUGAAGAGUCCCUGCAGCACUGAGAUUCAGGAGUGCUUGUACUUCGUGAUCAGAGAGGCUUUGGAGAAACAGGCUUGUCCCAGAGCCUGGUUGAUGAACUGCUUCCCUGUUCCUGGAAUGUGAGGGCAGAGCUGUUGUUCAUUUAGCGGU